rnacentral:rRNA from 1 species
GCACGAAAGGCGUAACGAUUUGGGCACUGUCUCAACGAGAGACUCGGUGAAAUCAUAGUACCUGUGAAGAUGCAGGUUACCCGCGACAGGACGGAAAGACCCCGUGGAGCUUUACUGUAGCCUGAUAUUGAAAUUCGGCACAGCUUGUACAGGAUAGGUAGGAGCCUUUGAAACGUGAGCGCUAGCUUACGUGGAGGCGUUGGUGGGAUACUACCCUAGCUGUGUUGGCUUUCUAACCCGCACCACUUAUCGUGGUGGGAGACAGUGUCAGGCGGGCAGUUUGACUGGGGCGGUCGCCUCCUAAAAGGUAACGGAGGCGCUCAAAGGUUCCCUCAGAAUGGUUGGAAAUCAUUCAUAGAGUGUAAAGGCAUAAGGGAGCUUGACUGCGAGACCUACAAGUCGAGCAGGGUCGAAAGACGGACUUAGUGAUCCGGUGGUUCCGCAUGGAAGGGCCAUCGCUCAAC